UCGAAAUAAACCUGAGCAGGCUGUUGCUAAUAUUGUGCACGUCUGUCAUCUUUAUUUUCUCCAACUGUGCACGUAUUGUAGACCUGUUGUUGGGAUGGAUUGCCUUGCAGGUCUAUGUUUUUACAUUUCACACAUUAAAUGUUGUCGAGUACUGGGGAAUAACAAAUAUA
rnacentral:misc_RNA from 1 species